GGAGCGGCCGGGGUGCGCGGUAAAGAUGGGGCGGCGCGGCCGGGGCUCGCCAGCACCAGCCCUGGAACCCCAUGGGGGACCUCGACAACAGCGCCUUUGCGGCGUGGGCCCCUUUCUGCAGCUCCUCCACCCGCGCGCUGUCGGCUCCGGGACACUGGGGCUUUGAAGGGCGCCAGUUCCCAGCCGCACCUGCACGCCUAGGAGGGCGCAGGCCGCGUGUCCCUGUGGGAGGAAGGCCCCGGCAACCUGCAAAGACCUCACGUCACAGAAACUUGCGGCGUUUGCCCCCGAUGCGCGCGUCAGGUGCUCCGUCCCUUCCAGGUGGCAGAGGAGAGGGAAGGGUCGCGCCUGGUGGGGGCCUGAGAGCCACCGGGCUGCGGUGCGCGAGUGUGGACACCGCCCCGCCUUCUGCGUCUACAGCCCUGGGUUCUGGGACCUUUGGAAACCGCUUUGGACGAAGCUGAGCAUCUCUUUCCCCACGCUGACCUCCCCCAUAGACUCCGGAUGGGAGUAAAUGAGGGUCCUGGGAAAUCCAGAAACUCUAGAGAAGCUUGUUUGCCAAACCUUGCUUUGGGCGGUGGAGACAGAAUAUCAUGUCCCAGAUCAGCGUGUGGUGACUGUGGAGGCAUUUACACACAGCACACUCCAGCUCUGCCACUGGGCCGGCUGAGGUGGCUGCGGUACACGGCGCCCAUCCUGAGCCCCAGGUUCCUCACAUGUCAACAGCAUGAAAAGUGCCUCUAAGACAUCCACAGGUGUGCAGUGUUAAAGCAGGUAAGAUGGAUUCACAUCUGCUGGGUGCACGAACACUUCCUCCUUCCUUGCCACCAGCCAGCAUCACAACCAGCCUGGCCAGGCUCCCGUCCCAGCCCAGCCUAGCAGCUAACCCCAGCUCCAUCCCCCAGCAAGCCCCUCUGCCUGCACCUCAGCUUCUUCAUGGAAGACGAGUCAGGUCAUGAUGCCACCAGGGAGCGUGUUUCCAUGUUGAACUGAGACACUAAGCCCUUGACAAAUGUUGGCCAAGAAAAAAAAGGGGCUCCAAGAGGGGAGCUGUGGCUCAGGUAGAAGACGGUGAAUGAGCAUUGCCUGAAUCAGAGUUAGCUACUCUGGUUACACAGGUGUCCCCGGCAGGUUGGUCAAAAGCCCUUCCCUGAGUCCCGUGAUAAGUGUGGGGAGGGAGGCAAAUCAAAGACCCCUACACACCUCCUGCAUGGAUGGCCAGAGCGCUGGUCCCACCUCCUUCCUUCCAAACUGCAACCCCGAUCAGCACAGCAGAGAAGUCUCCUGUGGCAGGGACCAGUAAUUCAGUGCUUCCCCUGGAGAGUCUGGGAUUGCACAGAACACCAGAGGCUGGGGAUUUAUUUGUUCACCAACAUUCAUUCAACAAACACUUACUGAGGCCAACACUGGGAAUGGAGACGAACUUCCCUGUCCUCAUGGAGCUUGCUUUCAAAAGGGAAGGAGGCAGACAGUAAACAAAACAAGCAAGUCAAUAUACAGCAUGAUGCAGAAAAGGUGUGAUGCCACCCUCUUGCCUGAGUUUAUAACAAGCAGAUGAUGUUGUCCUAAGAAUUAAUUUCAGCCGGUGAAAGAGUACAGGCAAAAAACGUGGUCUCGGACUUUCCGGUGAUGCUUAAGAACAUAGUUGCAGUUUUUGUUCUGAUUCUUUGUGCAUCUCGCGCUAAUGAAGGAUUCUGCCAUGAUUGCCACCUCUGGAGACGUCACAGCCAGCACAGCCAUGACCAGGGAUGAACUUGGCCAUUGUCCAGCAGCACCAUGGGAGGACCAGCUGCUGUAAGUGAAGGUCAUCAUCCAUCUGAUUUGCUGGCUUUUUGCAACUACUGCGGUGGAAGUCUUAGAGUAGCCACCUUCUCUGUACUCAGACCUUCACUUCGCCAGAUGUCAGCACAGCAGUGUCAGCAGCUUCGUCAAACACAAACACCACCACCUCUCUGGAUCAGAAGCACAUGGAAAGCCCACCUUGCAAGAAGACCCAGCUAUUCCAAAAGUACCCAUAUCCCUGUAGCAUCCUCUUAGCUGAAUGUCUCUACUCCUUAAACUUGUACCACUUUGAAGAGUAAAAAUUUAAAUUCAUUCAUAUUAUCAUUUUUUAGUUUUUAGUAUAAGUGGAGCUGUUUAUCGGCCAUUUGUAUGUCCUUUUCUUUUUUUUGCAAAUUACUCCUUUGCCAAAUUUUCUCUCAAAUGACUCAUCUUUUUCUUAUUGAUUUGCAGAAGCUAUUUACAUAUUAUGGAUGUGGGGUGUCUAACAUACACAGCAAAUACUUUGUCCCAGUGUGUCACUUUUUAAAAAAAUUCUUAUAAUGUCUUUCAUCUUUAAAAAAUUAUUAAGCUAUUGUGAGCUUUUAUGCCUUUUCAGUUUAUUUUCUUACAUAGAUAAUUAUAUGAAGUGCAAAUAGGGGCAGUGUUAGUCUCAUCUUCCCAAGGCUGCACCUCAGAUGUGGAAUGUUGACAGCAACAUCUGUUACCUUGUUUCUGUUUUUAGGAUUUUAGCGUUAAGGCCAGGCAUAAUGGUUCAUGCCUGUAAUUCCAGCACUUUGGGAGGCCGAGGUGGGCAGAUCACUUGAAGCCAGGAGUUCAAGACCAGCCUGGCCAACAUGGAGAAACCCUCUCUAUUUUUAAAUACAUUUAAAAUGUUAACAAUUAAAACAAAAUAUUUUACCGUUAGUAUGAUGCUUGAUACAGGAUUUCUGGUACAUACGCCUUAUCAAAUUAAAUAAGUUUCCUUUUACUCUUGUUUAUUGUUAUUUUUU
rnacentral:lncRNA from 10 species